rnacentral:rRNA from 1 species
UACAGAGGGUGCAAGCGUUGUUCGGAAUUAUUGGGCGUAAAGCGCGUGUAGGCGGCUUUGCAAGUCGGGUGUGAAAGCCCUCGGCUCAACCGAGGAAGUGCGCCCGAAACUGCAGAGCUUGAGUACCGGAGAGGAUGGCGGCAAUUCCCCAAGUGAGAGGUGAAAUUCGUGAGAUAUGGGGAGGAACACCGGUGGCGAAGGCGGCCAUCUGGACGGAUACUGACGCUGAGA